AGUGAACGCUGGCGGUAGGCCUAACACAUGCAAGUCGAACGGCAGCACAGGAGAGCUUGCUCUCUGGGUGGCGAGUGGCGGACGGGUGAGGAAUACAUCGGAAUCUGCCCAGUCGUGGGGGAUAACGUAGGGAAACUUACGCUAAUACCGCAUACGACCUUCGGGUGAAAGAGGGGGAUCGCAAGACCUCUCGCGAUUGGAUGAGCCGAUGUCGGAUUAGCUAGUUGGCGGGGUAAUGGCCCACCAAGGCGACGCUCCGUAGCUGGUCUGAGAGGAUGAUCAGCCACACUGGAACGGAGACACGGUCCAGACUCCUACGGGAGGCAGCAGUGGGGAAUAUUGGACAAUGGGCGCAAGCCUGAUCCAGCCAUACCGCGUGGGUGAAGAAGGCCUUCGGGUUGUAAAGCCCUUUUGUUGGGAAAGAAAUCUUUCAGGCUAAUACCCUGGGAGGAUGACGGUACCCAAAGAAUAAGCACCGGCUAACUUCGUG
rnacentral:rRNA from 1 species